rnacentral:rRNA from 1 species
GAUCCUGGCUCAGGAUGAACGCUAGCUACAGGCUUAACACAUGCAAGUCGAGGGGCAGCAUGGUCUUAGCUUGCUAAGGCUGAUGGCGACCGGCGCACGGGUGAGUAACACGUAUCCAACCUGCCGUCUACUCUUGGCCAGCCUUCUGAAAGGAAGAUUAAUCCAGGAUGGGAUCAUGAGUUCACAUGUCCGCAUGAUUAAAGGUAUUUCCGGUAGACGAUGGGAUGCG